ensembl:lncRNA
CCCAAAUGGCAGCCUAAGCCCUUGCAGUCUUCCUCCGAGUUCAUACAUUAUAUCGCUUUGACUGUCAGAUUGAAGUGAAGAGCUCGGCAAAAGUGCACACCCAGUGCAUAGUGACUGCAAAGGGGACUCUUCUUAAACCUAAUAUGGGACACCCUAUACAGUCUUGUCAAUUUAACAGACAUGGACACCCAUUGUGCGUCCACGAGACUGCAAGUGCACAUGAAAUGUGGGACAGGACCUCUGUGUUAAUCACAGGGCGAGCUUGUGCCACAGGGGGGAACUCAGCCUUUGAUAGUCUUUAUGCAGAACACAUGUGGGACAGAACCUGAAGCAGCCCUGCUGAGAAGACCUGGCCUCCAAAAGUCAAUCUCGUGUUCAUCACUUCCCAUCAGUCACCUUAACUCUUUCCUUUUAAUCACAACCUAAAUUUCCCUUCUCAUAUCUAAAAAUGUACAAAAAUAAAAUUAUUUUUGUAUAUGACAUUUUGUAUAUGUUUGGAAAAUUAACUUUGGUGGAUUAUAUUGGUGGCACUUUAAGAGUGAGGCAAGUGGUACUCUGAGCUGUGAAAUGCUAAUUAUCUCAGCGAGAGAUCUGUAUUCCCUCAACACGGCAUUCCAGCAGGACUCAGCCUCACUGCAGCGGGAUUAUGUGGAUGAGUGGGAGGGAAUGUCUGCACAAUAGGAUUAGAUUGAUUUGUAUCUUCAUUAUGUCCCUAAUGGAGCUUGAGAGAGUGUGUGCUAAUGUGGGGCCGGCCUACAUACUAUCUCUGUUUGAGUAAGAUGGCUUCCUUUAGAGAUGCUCAUCCUCCCUUUUACAGUUUAGUCUGAAAGGCAAUGUAAUACACUUUAAAUUACACUUCGAUAAAGUAUAUGAAUAAUUCCCAAACUGUUUUACUGCAAAAGAUCCUAAAAAGCUAAAAAAAAAACUCUUCUCUGUGCUUCUGCUAGCCUUGAAUGUUCUCUCCUCUAGUGCCCCCUGUAGAACAGAUCGGUCAUGGCAGGAGGCCCUGUAUUUAUCCAAUAAAAAGGCUCUGCUUGAGGGCCCAGAUCAAG